GGUGGUUGAAGUAUUAGGUGUUGAACUUUCUUAGUGGCGAACGGGUGAGUAACGCGUGGGCAACCUGCCCUCUAGAUGGGGACAACAUCCCGAAAGGGGUGCUAAUACCGAAUGUGACAGCAAUCUCGCAUGAGGAUGCUGUGAAAGAUGGCCUCUAUUUAUAAGCUAUCGCUAGGGGAUGGGCCUGCGUCUGAUUAGCUAGUUGGUGGGGUAACGGCCUACCAAGGCGAUGAUCAGUAGCCGGUCUGAGAGGAUGAACGGCCACAUUGGGACUGAGACACGGCCCAGACUCCUACGGGAGGCAGCAGUGGGGAAUCUUCCGCAAUGGGCGAAAGCCUGACGGAGCAAUGCCGCGUGAGUGAUGAAGGAAUUCGUUCCGUAAAGCUCUUUUGUUUAUGACGAAUGUGCAGAUUGUAAAUAAUGAUCUGUAAUGACGGUAGUAAACGAAUAAGCCACGGCUAACUACGUG
rnacentral:rRNA from 1 species